AGUGAACGCUGGCGGCGUGCCUAAUACAUGCAAGUCGAACGGAGAUUAAGUAGCUUGCUAUUUAAUCUUAGUGGCGCACGGGUGAGUAAUAUAUAGCUAACUUGCCCAUUACUAAGGGACAACAGUUGGAAACGACUGCUAAUACCUUAUACUCCGUAUCUAUAUAAGUAGAUACGGGAAAGUUUUUCGGUAAUGGAUAGGGCUAUAUCGUAUCAGCUAGUUGGUAAGGUAAUGGCUUACCAAGGCUAUGACGCGUAACUGGUCUGAGAGGAUGAUCAGUCAAAUUGAAACGGAGACACGUCCAGACUCCUACGGGAGGCAGCAGUAGGGAAUAUUGCUCAAUGGGGGAAACCCUGAAGCAGCAACGCCGCGUGGAGGAUGACACUUUUCGGAGCGUAAACUCCUUUUCUUGGGAAAGAAUUAUGACGGUACCCAAGGAAUAAGCACCGGCUAACUCCGUG
rnacentral:rRNA from 1 species